UGAACAGUAUGUACACAUACAAGUAGGGU
rnacentral:piRNA from 1 species